rnacentral:rRNA from 1 species
GAUGAACGCUGGCGGCGUGCCUAAUACAUGCAAGUCGAGCAACAGAUAAGGAGCUUGCUCCUUUGACGUUAGCGGCGGACGGGUGAGUAACACGUGGAUAACCUACCUAUAAGACUGGGAUAACUUCGGGAAACCGGAGCUAAUACCGGAUAACAUAUUGAACCGCAUGGUUCAAUAGUGAAAGGCGGCUUUGCUGUCACUUAUAGAUGGAUCCGCGCCGUAUUAGCUAGUUGGUAAGGUAACGGCUUACCAAGGCAACGAUACGUAGCCGACCUGAGAGGGUGAUCGGCCACACUGGAACUGAGACACGGUCCAGACUCCUACGGGAGGCAGCAGUAGGGAAUCUUCCGCAAUGGGCGAAAGCCUGACGGAGCAACGCCGCGUGAGUGAUGAAGGUCUUCGGAUCGUAAAACUCUGUUAUCAGGGAAGAACAAAUGUGUAAGUAACUGUGCACAUCUUGACGGACCUGAUCAGAAAGCC